rnacentral:tRNA from 1 species
GGAGAGGUGGCCGAGUGGCUGAAGGCGCACGCUUGGAAAGCGUGUUUACCCUAACCGGUAACGUGAGUUCGAAUCUCACUCUCUCCGCCA